rnacentral:rRNA from 1 species
GGUUGACCUCGGAUCAGGUAGAGAAUACCCGCUGAACUUAAGCAUAUCUUACGCGAGAGAAAG